rnacentral:rRNA from 1 species
AGUGAACGCUGGCGGCAGGCUUAACACAUGCAAGUCGAACGGCAGCACAGUAAUAGCUUGCUCUUACGGGUGGCGAGUGGCGGACGGGUGAGGAAUACAUCGGAAUCUACUUUUUCGUGGGGGAUAACGUAGGGAAACUUACGCUAAUACCGCAUACGACCUACGGAUGAAAGCAUGGGAUCUUCGGACCUUGCGCGAUUGAAUGAGCCGAUGUCGGAUUAGCUAGUUGGCGGGGUAAAGGCCCACCAAGGCGACGAUCCGUAGCUGGUCUGAGAGGAUGAUCAGCCACACUGGAACUGAGAUACGGUCCAGACUCCUACGGGAGGCAGCAGUGGGGAAUAUUGGACAAUGGGCGCAAGCCUGAUCCAGCCAUACCGCGUGGGUGAAGAAGGCCUUCGGGUUGUAAAGCCCUUUUGUUGGGAAAGAAAAGCAGUAGGUUAAUACCCCGCUGUUCUGACGGUACCAAAAGAAUAAGCACCGGCUAACUUCGUG